AUUUCCUAAUCAAUUUAAAAUGGCUAAUAUAGUCCAGAAAUGAGCUCUUUGUCAGAAACUAUUUAUCUUUAUCAUGAUCAUGUGAAGUCUUUGAAAAUUAUUUUGCAUUUUGUUAAUGUAUAUAGUGCCUAAAAAAAAAAUUUUGAGUUCUUAAAAGGUGCUUAUUUUUUGUUGAAGGAUUUGACUAUGCACCUUCGUAAUUCAUUUAACAUUUUCAGACAUCAUUCAAUCAGUCCUUGUAUCGUUUUCCUUAAAUAUUUUUGGAGUUGACUCCUGUAAGGAGAUUGUGCUUGAAGCAACAGGCAACAGUGAUGUCUUUUUAAACUGUUGCAGCACCAGAAUUGUAGAAAUUGUUAAUGUCAUAUUAAGAGUGAAGAAGGAUCUGCUGAGUUGUCCGCCAUGGAAGGUGCAUUGUUGACAGUAAUGCUUCUGAUCAUGGAAUAUUGCUGCUGGGAAGUGCGGAAGCAGUCUUGCAAGACACCAUUGUUUGUAAUUCUAAGAAAGAUGGUAUCCAAAUGAAAUCUUUAAGCUCAUUACACUUACAAUCUUCAAAUAUUGAGCACAAUGAAAGGUAUGGACUGCAUUUAGACGCAGAAGGUGAAUAUUCAACUGAAAGCUGCACUGAAUUGCUGAUUUCUGAUUCUCACAUAACUCAAAAUGGUUCUUAUGGAAUGUUCUUGAACUAUUUCCCAAUGACAGACAUAUCAUUGCAGAGACCGAGUGGCGAUUUCACGAUUCUCAAUUUUUUCCGUGGUUAAGACAUACUGUCGAGAAGAGUGGUAUUGGUAGUAACGGAGAAAAGGGUAUUAGCCUCUCCUCCACCUGCAAAAGUAGUGUUUUCAAGGCAAGAUCUUUUCAAGAAGAGUUGCCGAAACCAGAAGAGCUUAACUAUUCAGCCUUAAGUGAGCUUCUGAACGUGGU